UUCUUCUCCCAUUUUCUCUCUAAUGGUCGGCCACCUCUCACCUCUUUCUUCAAACUCAACAAGUUCAUCACAUGUUCAUCUUAUAUUCAUUCCAAAAGUCCACUUUGAUCCAAAAAAAAAACACCUAAAUACCAAAAUAACAUGUUUAUAAAGAUCAAACUCAUCUUUUUCCUCAAGAACACCACUCAAGUUCUUCACAUUUUUCUUUUCUUUAUCGAAACUAACACCCAACCAAACCUUUAUUUUCGUUUUUCAAGAAUAAAUCUCCAUAUCUCACAAACCUCUUCAUCUCUUUAGAUCAAAAUCAAGAACUCCCAAGAACAUUUCCAAAACAAAACCUAAAAUGUUCUUGAUUUUAACCUAAACUAAACCCGAUUUCAAAAUAAAUCACCCAAUCUCCAACCAUCCUAACUACCAGAAAACCGAAAUCAUCACCACCCUAAAUACUAAAACCUGCCGGCCACCAUCUCCGCCACCGCAACCCGAAAACGGCUACGACUAUUCGAACCGAGAAAAGAAAGCCAUGAAGCAAAGUUCACCUUAACGACAAGUGGCGGCGACGAAAUACUGAGGUAGAAUCUUCGUUUUCUUGUGUUAAUAUUGGCUCCUUUGAUGUUUUUCCAAGUUUGAAAUAAAAAACGAUGAUAACCCGAUGAUUUUCCGUUCAAAAUGGUGGCGACAGUGGCCGGGAAGACGAUAUUACAGCACGUGUUGUUCACGUGCCUGAGAAACUCUGGUGCCGGUGGGACGCGCUGGUGAAGCUCCAAAGUUCUCCUUUGAUGAAGCAAUCUUGGCCAUUGGAUUAAAUCUAGAUCUAAUGGUUGAGAUGUAUUUGUGCUUCUUCACUUGGAUGGAUGACGUGGCUUAAUGAGAGCCUUUGGAUCUAGCUUCCCAUCCAAGGGCUCUAAAGAAUUUGUGUUUUCUUCUCAAAGAUUAAUGAUGUGGCAAAAAUCUAAGCCAUUGGAUCUGAAGCUCAUCCAUGGUCCAUAAUUGCUUGGCUCUCUUCACGAGGAUGAAUAAGGUGUCAUCAUUAAGUACACCUAAAAAAGUAUCACCACAAUUAAUACAUUGUACCAUUAAAAAAUCAAAAACAAAAACAAAAACUACCCCCCAUACCCACAAAAACCGACUGCUACACAUGUAAAAUCAGUUUUUUUUUCUUUUUUGUAUUUACUUGUAUAUAUUUGUAAAAGGUGUGGGCUAUUAUUUGGGCCUAAAAAACUAUAUAAAUGGAUUAUUACUUAAUGAAAUGGAUUAUUUA